rnacentral:lncRNA from 1 species
AUGACCUGGGUCAUGCCAUGCGUCAUUCCUACUUGGCAAUGGCUCUCAGCACCCUGUUAUAAGAUCUUUGAACUAAAUAUACUGUAAACUUUGUCUUUUGACAAAACAAAGGAAAUUUUAAAAUGCUACCAAGAACUUGGUAGUGGUAUAGAGACAGACAAUAAAACAAUGGGGACAGAAGAGGGAGUCCAGAAGCAGAUCCAACAUUUUGAAUGAGAUGACAUCACCCCUAGUGGGGGAAAGGUGAACUGUUCUGAUAAAUAGUGUGGAGAAAAUUAGCUCAUCAUAUGGGAAAAAGAAAAUCAGACUCUGACACACAUGUGUAUGCACACAUACAGCCAAAAUACCUGCAGUGGUCUGUUUCUUAUUUCUUGUGGACCUUCUGGUCCAGAGUCAGAAAGCAGAGGAAAGACAAACCUUUACAAGCAUGUUAGCAUCCCACAAAAUAUGCCCAUGGGAUUCAUUGCUUAUCUCCUUCAAUUACUUUCUCUUGGCUUUGUCAUUCAUGGGAAUUCCUCUGAGGUUUGCACAAUGGGUCUGAUUUUUGUUGUUGUUGUUAUUUUUGUUUUUUUUUUUUGUUUUUUGGUCAUCUGAAGUAUUUCAUUGUGAAAUUCAUAAAAGUUACACGGGUCGCUGGCAACACAUACAGGUUUAACUACACUCAGCUUUUUGAUUAUCAAACCCAACAUCUCUCCGUUUAACAAUAACUUUGGUUUUCAUAUCUUUGUUUUCAUUUAAGUUCAUAAUGAAAAUAUUUGAAUAAAUCAGGGUCAUGGACAAAGCUCUCAAACUAAAAAUUAAGAAAUUUUCAAAAAAGCUGACAUGGACCCAUUAAUAAAUCAACAAUGUUUUGAUAAUGUAUUUCCUCAUUCUUUCCCUUUGAAUCCCUUUGCUCUAUAGCUGAGACCACUGGGAUUCCAUUUAUGGGCUUGGCCUCCCCCUGUGUCUAACAAUACUAUUAGGAAUUUGAAGGUCUCCAGACCAAAACUUUAGAACUUAGCAUUAGGUCAUGAAUCCUGUGAGUAUAGUACUGGCCCUCAUCCAAGGGCUCAGGAUGGGAAUUAAAGAGUGAGCUAUCACUGAUCUCCAUCCUUAGUCCUUUUUUAUAAAAUAUUUUUAUUUUUUAUUUUGGAACAGUGUCUCACUAAAUUGCCCAGGCUGGCAUCAAAUUUGCAAUCCUCCUGCCUCAGCUUCCCUCAAUCUCCAGUAUAACUGGAAUUAUAGGUUUGUGUCACUAUGCGUGGCUGCCUCACAAUUUCAGUUAGACACUUGCCAGCCUCCUCCAUCCUAUUUACUUGCCUAUUCUCUUUCCUAUUUGAUAUCUAUCACAGUACCUGUAUUUUUCUUAAUUAAUUCAUCUUUUGUAAACUGACA